rnacentral:lncRNA from 1 species
CCAACACAUAUAAUAUAAUCAUGUUUUCCAUAAUUUCAAUAAAUAAAAGUAUUAAGUGCAAUCAAAUACUAUUAAUAUACCAAAAUGUAGAGUUAAUCUAAAUGAUUUCACCGGGCAUUAACCUCUAAUGUGCCUUAGUUUUUUUCUUAUUUAUAUGUCAGCUCUUCACUAAUGUGAGCCUGGAAGUGGAAGUAGAAAAUGGAGAACAUAAGAAGGGGCACUACUUUCUUCUCAGUGAUUCCACUUAUUUUGCGUCUCACUUUAAAUUCCUUUUACCACCAAGCCAAUUGCACAACUUCGGACACUAAAAACAAUAGGCAAACACUAGAAAUUGGCAUAGGAAUAAGAGGUGCUCCUUCUCCUGAUUAUGGCCCUCCAAUGUUAAUAAGCAAACCUUUACGGUGUAAGAAAAAACCAAGUAUUUUGCACAUUAAACUAAGUUUUGAAUAGAGUUCUUACCUCACUCGUUUCACUCCACAAUCUGCAGAUGUAAAAGUCUGAUUCAGAUGCAACAAUUCCUAGAGGUAAUCUCUCUGUUCCUUUAGGAUUUGAUGGGACCCAAAUCUGAAUCAGAAUAGAAAAUAAGGUAAUAAUUGAAAAAAAUAGGCUUAGUGUUCGAAAGAAAUUAAGUUGCCAAAAUUUAUCAUCUAUAUCUAGUUAAGACACGAUUAUACAUGCACAGACCUAAUGAAAGACGGAGAUAAAAUAGUGUGAGUAGUCCCGACUAGCGUAACGUCAUAUAUAUGACUAGAAAUUCAAGAUGUGUUUCUACGUUUGAAUGUUAUGGCUAUGCCAAAGCAAAAGACAGUGUGUUUGAUCACAUUGAUUCAUAGUAGCAGGGAACACAAAUUAGUUUGUAUUGUUUGAACAUUGUCUAGACUUCUAAUUACACCUUAUUAACAAGAAAAAUUACCUUGGAUGAAUCAUUUACAUAAUGGUUUUCAGUCGAUUUGCUUCUAUCAUUAUUGGAAGAGCUAGCAUCUAUAGUUCUAUACUUUGGGUUGAGCUACCUGUACUUAAGUUCCCAGUGAUCGAAAAAUCAUGAAUAAGAGCGGAUGUGAUAUUUAGCUUCAAAAUUGGAAAGAUAGAAUAAAUUAUAACAAAGACAAGAAAUCAGCAGUGAUGAAUAAAAACCAAAAUAUUUAAUCAAACCUUCAGUAAUGGAAGUGCUGGAAAUGAAUUUCCUAUAAAGAAGCCAAAGAUUAUGCCAACAAAAAUUGUAACAAUUAUCCUCAUGGUUUCGUUCAGAUUUUUAACCAUUGCACUGCGAAACGGAUGUGAAAAAUCAUACAAACUGUUUUCACGUACAUAUAUAAUGCUUUAAGCUUGGUUUAACUACACAAGAGUCAAAACUUACAAACCUGUGUCCUAAAAAUCCCCUUCUAUGUAUAUUUCUACUUCCUUAUUUUGAAUGCAUAUGAUUCUAAUAGCUGCUUUCUAUUGUCCAACUAAUUUUAUGCAGCCAGUGUGAAGUAAAAAAUAGAUAUAUUUCUAACACGAAAUUAGAAGUAAUUUAUGUGUACCCAAAACAAAGAGUUAAAGCAGCACACUAUUAUGCAAGGAAAAUUGUGUCAAUGAGCCCCAAAUCUCUUUCGUUCACGUAUUAAAUUCACACCCAUAAUAAACAAAUGUUAUCUUUAUAGGCAGCUCAACACCUUAAAAUCUUUCUAUGAGAUUUAAUUAGACCACCGGAGUAGAUUCAGGAACUCAUAUUAAAACUUCCAGAGGAUUGGGUCCUAAGAGGCAAGCAAUGAGAGUGAGUGGCGCCGGUGGUCGACGAUGGAAGGCGGAGAGAGAGACAAGAGUAAGAGCUGAGGCGCCGGCCGAAAUCGUGGAGAGGCGGAGUUGAUUAGGGGAAAAAUGGGAGAAAAGUCGCAUUUUAGGGCUUUUAAAAGUUUAAAAUUUUUUACAAUACACGGCG